AUAAUUAUGUUUUUGCUUUUGUUAACUUUCGAUGUUAGAUCGAGUGGUUAAUUUUGUUUUGUUUUAAAUUUUUCAGAUUUAUUGAAAGAAACGUCUAAUUUUGUUAGUAACGGUGAGUGAAAGCUUUAAUUUUGAUGUGAUAGAGUAUGAGUACUGUGAAGGAAUGAGGUGAUUAAUUAUGAGUUAGUUGAGCUUUGUGCUUGUACCUUUUGUAUCAUGGUUCUUCUAGGUAAAAAUUAUUUAUAUUAAUUUACCCGAAAAAAACUGAGCUAUUUUUAGGCGAUACUUCAGCGUAGCAAAGCUGUGUUUAGACCUAAAACUAGGAGUGAAAUGCUUAUCGAAGUUUUUGAUAGCUGGUUGGUUAAGAAAUGUAUCAGAGUGCAGGUCCUGUUUGGCGAAGUUGAAUAUUUAUUUAGGGGUCUUGAUUUAAAAUUAUUAAAUUGUAAUUGAUUAGGUGGGCCCUUAAAAUAGAUGGGACUGAGGUAGAGAAGGAUAAGCUUUUUUACGUGUUUAAGAAAACUUUUUAAAAAUUUCAUUAUCGUAGUGAGCUUAGAAUUGGCUAUCUUGUUUUAAGUUUGUUAUAAAUUAAAUAUAUAAAAUUUAAAGAUUUUUAUUUUGUUUUCUAACGGGUGUGUUUAUAUUAACUUUGUUCAUUUAAUUUAUUAAUGACGUAUUUCUGGGGAAAUGAGUAUUUACGGUGAUUAGGUGAGUCAUUUAAAUUUAAUACGUGAAGGUAAGUUUAAUGUUCAUAUCAAUUUUAGCAGCAGACUUUGUCAGUGUGCAAUAGCCUGUAAUUUAAUUUCUAGGAAGGAAUUCGGCAAAAAUUAGUUUCGCCUGUUUAUCAAAAACAUGGCUCUUUGUGUAGUAUUUUAAAAUGAAGAGUCGGACCUGCCCGGUGACUUAUAGUUAAACGGCCGCGGUACUCUGACCGUGCAAAGGUAGCAUAAUCACUUGCCUUUUAAUUGGAGGCUUGUAUGAAUGGUUUGACGAGAGCUAAGCUGUCUCCUUAGAAAUAUUUAAAAAUUAACUUUUAGGUGAAGAGGCCUAAAUUUGUUUAAGGGACAAGAAGACCCUAUUGAGCUUUAGUGACACUAAUGAAUUAUUGUGUAGUAUUUACUGAAAUUGCAUUUAUUUGUGUAAAUUAAUUUCGUUACUAAUCUUUAGUUGGGGCGACUGAGGAACUGAUUGAGCUUCCUCGAAUUAUUGUUUGUAGUUAGACAGACUAGUUAUGAGGAUCCAGCGUAAUUAAUGCUGAUUAAGGGAAAAAGUUACCAUAGGGAUAACAGCGUAAUCUUUCUGGAGAGUUCUUAUCGAAAGAAGGGUUUGCGACCUCGAUGUUGGACUAAGGUAUCCCGGAGGUGUAGAAGCUUCCGAUGGUUGGUCUGUUCGACCAUUAAAACCUUACAUGAUCUGAGUUCAGACCGGUGUGAGCCAGGUUGGUUUCUAUCUUUAAACAUACAAAUUAAAAUUUUGGCUAGUACGAAAGGACCGCUGUUAAAGUAAAUAUUUUAUUAGUUAGAAAUAGGUUUAGGCUAACAUGUGUAUAAACUUUAUUUAAUUAAUUUAUUCAAUUAAAGUUU
rnacentral:rRNA from 1 species